rnacentral:rRNA from 2 species
UUAAGCGACUAAGCGUACACGGUGGAUGCCCUGGCAGUCAGAGGCGAUGAAGGACGUGCUAAUCUGCGAAAAGCGUCGGUAAGGUGAUAUGAACCGUUACAGCCGGCGAUGUCCGAAUGGGGAAACCCAGUGUGAUUCGUCACACUAUCGUUAACUGAAUACAUAGGUUAACGAGGCGAACCGGGGGAACUGAAACAUCUAAGUACCCCGAGGAAAAGAAAUCAACCGAGAUUCCCCCAGUAGCGGCGAGCGAACGGGGAGCAGCCCAGAGUCUGAAUCAGCUUGUGUGUUAGUGGAACGGUCUGGAAAGUCCGACGGUACAGGGUGAUAGUCCCGUACACCAAAAUGCACAGGCUGUGAACUCGAAGAGUAGGGCGGGACACGUGGUAUCCUGUCUGAAUAUGGGGGGACCAUCCUCCAAGGCUAAAUACUCCUGACUGACCGAUAGUGAACCAGUACCGUGAGGGAAAGGCGAAAAGAACCCCGGCGAGGGGAGUGAAAAAGAACCUGAAACCGUGUACGUACAAGCAGUGGGAGCACCUUCGGGUGUGACUGCGUACCUUUUGUAUAAUGGGUCAGCGACUUAUAUUCUGUAGCAAGGUUAACCGUAUAGGGGAGCCGCAGGGAAACCGAGUCUUAACUGGGCGUUAAGUUGCAGGGUAUAGACCCGAAACCCGGUGAUCUAGCCAUGGGCAGGUUGAAGGUUGGGUAACACUAACUGGAGGACCGAACCGACUAAUGUUGAAAAAUUAGCGGAUGACUUGUGGCUGGGGGUGAAAGGCCAAUCAAACCGGGAGAUAGCUGGUUCUCCCCGAAAGCUAUUUAGGUAGCGCCUCGUGAACUCAUCUUCGGGGGUAGAGCACUGUUUCGGCUAGGGGGUCAUCCCGACUUACCAACCCGAUGCAAACUACGAAUACCGAAGAAUGUUAUCACGGGAGACACACGGCGGGUGCUAACGUCCGUCGUGAAGAGGGAAACAACCCAGACCGCCAGCUAAGGUCCCAAAGUCAUGGUUAAGUGGGAAACGAUGUGGGAAGGCCCAGACAGCCAGGAUGUUGGCUUAGAAGCAGCCAUCAUUUAAAGAAAGCGUAAUAGCUCACUGGUCGAGUCGGCCUGCGCGGAAGAUGUAACGGGGCUAAACCAUGCACCGAAGCUGCGGCAGCGACACUAUGUGUUGUUGGGUAGGGGAGCGUUCUGUAAGCCUGCGAAGGUGACCUGUGAGGGUUGCUGGAGGUAUCAGAAGUGCGAAUGCUGACAUAAGUAACGAUAAAGCGGGUGAAAAGCCCGCUCGCCGGAAGACCAAGGGUUCCUGUCCAACGUUAAUCGGGGCAGGGUGAGUCGACCCCUAAGGCGAGGCCGAAAGGCGUAGUCGAUGGGAAACAGGUUAAUAUUCCUGUACUUGGUGUUACUGCGAAGGGGGGACGGAGAAGGCUAUGUCAUCCGGGCGACGGUUGUCCCGGUUUAAGCAUGUAGGCUGGUUAUCCAGGCAAAUCCGGAUAAUCAAGGCUGAGGUGUGAUGACGAGGUACCACGGUACUGAAGUGACAGAUGCCCUGCUUCCAGGAAAAGCCUCUAAGCAUCAGGUAACAUCAAAUCGUACCCCAAACCGACACAGGUGGUCAGGUAGAGAAUACCAAGGCGCUUGAGAGAACUCGGGUGAAGGAACUAGGCAAAAUGGUGCCGUAACUUCGGGAGAAGGCACGCUGGUGUGUAGGUGAAGUCCCUGCGGACGGAGCUGAGACCAGUCGAAGAUACCAGCUGGCUGCAACUGUUUAUUAAAAACACAGCACUGUGCAAACACGAAAGUGGACGUAUACGGUGUGACGCCUGCCCGGUGCCGGAAGGUUAAUUGAUGGGGUUAUCCGUAAGGAGAAGCUCUUGAUCGAAGCCCCGGUAAACGGCGGCCGUAACUAUAACGGUCCUAAGGUAGCGAAAUUCCUUGUCGGGUAAGUUCCGACCUGCACGAAUGGCGUAAUGAUGGCCAGGCUGUCUCCACCCGAGACUCAGUGAAAUUGAACUCGCUGUGAAGAUGCAGUGUACCCGCGGCAAGACGGAAAGACCCCGUGAACCUUUACUAUAGCUUGACACUGAACAUUGAGCCUUGAUGUGUAGGAUAGGUGGGAGGCUUUGAAGCGUGGACGCCAGUCUGCGUGGAGCCAACCUUGAAAUACCACCCUUUAAUGUUUGAUGUUCUAACGUNNNNNNNNNNNNNNNNNNNNNNNNNNNNNNNNNNNNNNNNNNNGGGUUGCGGACAGUGUCUGGUGGGUAGUUUGACUGGGGCGGUCUCCUCCCAAAGCGUAACGGAGGAGCACGAAGGUUAGCUAAUCCUGGUCGGACAUCAGGAGGUUAGUGCAAUGGCAUAAGCUAGCUUGACUGCGAGCGUGACGGCGCGAGCAGGUGCGAAAGCAGGUCAUAGUGAUCCGGUGGUUCUGAAUGGAAGGGCCAUCGCUCAACGGAUAAAAGGUACUCCGGGGAUAACAGGCUGAUACCGCCCAAGAGUUCAUAUCGACGGCGGUGUUUGGCACCUCGAUGUCGGCUCAUCACAUCCUGGGGCUGAAGUAGGUCCCAAGGGUAUGGCUGUUCGCCAUUUAAAGUGGUACGCGAGCUGGGUUUAGAACGUCGUGAGACAGUUCGGUCCCUAUCUGCCGUGGGCGCUGGAGAAUUGAGGGGGGCUGCUCCUAGUACGAGAGGACCGGAGUGGACGCAUCACUGGUGUUCGGGUUGUCAUGCCAAUGGCACUGCCCGGUAGCUAAAUGCGGAAGAGAUAAGUGCUGAAAGCAUCUAAGCACGAAACUUGCCCCGAGAUGAGUUCUCCCUGAGACUAUAAGUCUCCUGAAGGAACGUUGAAGACGACGACGUUGAUAGGCCGGGUGUGUAAGCGCAGCGAUGCGUUGAGCUAACCGGUACUAAUGAACCGUGAGGCUUAACCUU